rnacentral:rRNA from 1 species
UACGGAGGGGGCUAGCGUUGUUCGGAAUUACUGGGCGUAAAGCGCACGUAGGCGGCGAUUUAAGUCAGAGGUGAAAGCCCGGGGCUCAACCCCGGAAUAGCCUUUGAGACUGGAUUGCUAGAAUCUUGGAGAGGCGGGUGGAAUUCCGAGUGUAGAGGUGAAAUUCGUAGAUAUUCGGAAGAACACCAGUGGCGAAGGCGGCCCGCUGGACAAGUAUUGACGCUGAGGUGCGAAAGCAUGGGGAGCAAACAGG